AUUGAACGCUGGCGGCAGGCCUAACACAUGCAAGUCGAACGAGUGGCGGACGGGUGAGUUAUAUCUGGGAAUCUCCCUGAUGGAGGGGGAUCACUACUGGAAACGGUAUCUAAUACCGCAUACCAUCAGCUGUCCCCAGAUGGGAUUAGCUUGUUGGUGGGGUAACGGCUCACCAAGGCGACGAUCACUAGCUGGUCUGAGAGGAUGACCAGCCACACGGGAACUGAGACACGGGCCAGACUCCUACGGGAGGCAGCAGUGGGGAAUAUUGCACAAUGGGCGCAAGCCUGAUGCAGCCAUGCCGCGUGUAGGAAGAAGGCCUUCGGGUUGUAAAGGACUUUCAUCGGGGAGGCGGUACCCGAAGAAGAAGCACCGGCUAACUCCGUGCCAGCAGCCGCGGUAAUUC
rnacentral:rRNA from 1 species